UGGGGAAUAUUGCCCAAUGGGCGCAAGCCUGAUGCAGCCAUGCCGCGUGUAUGAAGAAGGCCUUCGGGUUGUAAAGUACUUUCAGCGAGGAGGAAGGCGUUGUGGUUAAUAACCGCAACGAUUGACGUUACUCGCAGAAGAAGCACCGGCUAACUCCGUGCCAGCAGCCGCGGUAAUACGGAGGGUGCAAGCGUUAAUCGGAAUUACUGGGCGUAAAGCGCACGCAGGCGGUCUGUCAAGUCGGAUGUGAAAUCCCCGGGCUCAACCUGGGAACUGCAUCCGAAACUGGCAGGCUAGAGUCUUGUAGAGGGGGGUAGAAUUCCAGGUGUAGCGGUGAAAUGCGUAGAGAUCUGGAGGAAUACCGGUGGCGAAGGCGGCCCCCUGGACAAAGACUGACGCUCAGGUGCGAAAGCGUGGGGGGCAAACA
rnacentral:rRNA from 1 species